rnacentral:tRNA from 1 species
GGGAUUGUGGCUCAACAGUAGAGUGCUCACCUAGCAUGUGUGAGGACCUGAGUUCAAUCCUCAGCACCA